AGAAGGGAGACCCCAGCAAGAGCCGCUGGAGGGAUGCCGUGGUGGGGCUGGACAGGGCCAGAUGCUCUCCCCCUGCUUAACCGAAAGGGCAUCACCGCUUUGCUGGGUGCCCCGUUGCUCAGUCCACAGGGGGACCUUGCCUCUCCAAGCAGACCGGGCUAAUCAUUACUUGACUUUUAUUUGAACAUCUGCGCCCUGCCUUUCUCCACAGGCCCCAAAGUGGCCAACCAAAACUAAAAUCCCAUAGAAAGCAAAAAGGUCAUUUCCCAAAGCGCCAUGAAAUGGGGCACACCCCACAUGCUGUGGGGGCAGAGCAGGCACUGGAAAACUACCACUAGAAGACAAACAACCCUGUUCAAAGCAGCCAUUGAGCAGCAACUGUUACCCAGCAACCAUCAAUGAUAGAACCCUGGCCCUGUUUGAGCAGGAAUAACUGUCCUUCUGGCCUUCCUCUUCCCUGGGGGUUACCAACCUCUCCUCCUGUGCCUUUCAAAGCAACCCAAGAAAAGUGUCAGGAGAUAAGGAUCAGAUGAGGAUCUGGGGCCCAAUUCUCAUUCAGCCUGAAGCUCCCUGGGGGGAAUUGGGGCCAAUCUCUUGCUAUCUACUGGCUUUUGGCCAAAGGCAUUCAAGACUCUACAGAAAUGGAAUGCGAGAACGCCUGACCUGAGAAAUUGACACAAGAUUGAGCGGAGGUGAAUGCACUGUUUAACGAGAAGAAGGCAGAUCACCAAAGACGGCGGGAGUCCUGUGAUGAGGUUGGGAGGUCGGGAGAAGCUAAGAAGAAGGAGAGAAGAGACUCUACAGUGGGAGAACCACUUUGGGAAGAGCAGGAUCAGCCCCUUUAUCAUUUCGGUUUGCCUCUUCUGCUGCACCUUCUUCAGUUCGACAGUAUGGCUUUUUUGGUAAUCUGGCGACCGGAACGAUACACUGUAAGUAUUCCAAAUGUGGCAAAAUACCAGGCUCUAGUUUCCCCAGGCACCAUGAAAUUGGGGCACACACCCCAUGCAGUGGGGACCGAGCAAGCCGUAAAAAAUGACUCCUCCUCUUCCUGGCCCCAAACCCAGAGCAGACUCGCCCACCAGCCCUGUUCAAAGCAGGCCUUGACCAGCCACAGUAAGCAUUGGAAGCCUGGCCCAGU